rnacentral:rRNA from 1 species
UACGUAGGGGGCAAGCGUUGUCCAGAAUCAUUGGGCGUAAAGAGCGUGUAGGCGGCCUGGUAGGUCUGCUGUGAAAACUCGAGGCUCAACCUCGAGAUGUCGGCGGAAACCAUCUGGCUAGAGUCCGGAAGAGGAGAGUGGAAUUCCUGGUGUAGCGGUGAAAUGCGCAGAUAUCAGGAAGAACACCUAUGGCGAAGGCAGCUCUCUGGGACGGUACUGACGCUGAGACGCGAAAGCGUGGGGAGCGAACAGG